CGGGCUCCCGGAGCUCCGGGUCAGGGUCAUGUCGGGGACUUGACCACUCGGCCGGGUCUCCCGUCAGCUGGGACACUUGCAGCUGCCCCAGGACGGGCAGCCUCGAUCCUGAUGAGCAGCUCCAGCAAUAAGAGGGCUCCGACCACAGCAACCCAGAGGCUGAAGCAGGACUACCUUCGCAUUAAGAAAGACCCGGUGCCUUACAUCUGUGCCGAGCCCCUCCCUUCGAAUAUUCUCGAGUGAGAAAAGAUAUUUCAGUGAGUUGAAAGGAAGUGUGUUUCGGCUUGGUCAGGGGUCCACCUUCUCUGGCUCACAGAGGAGGCCCAGCCCAGGCAGGCGGAGGAUACCCAGGGUGAGGCGGAGCCCCUUGGCCACCAGAGUGCUCUCUGCCCCCAGUGUUGAAAAUCAGAUGUGGCCCCAGGACAUCGCUGGCAGGCACUAUGUCGUCCGAGGCCCAGAGAUGACCCCUUAUGAAGGUGGCUAUUAUCAUGGAAAACUAAUUUUUCCCAGAGAAUUUCCUUUCAAACCUCCCAGUAUCUAUAUGAUCACUCCCAACGGGAGGUUUAAGUGCAACACCAGGCUGUGUCUUUCUAUCACGGAUUUCCACCCGGACACGUGGAACCCGGCCUGGUCUGUCUCCACCAUCCUGACUGGGCUCCUGAGCUUCAUGGUGGAGAAGGGCCCCACCCUGGGCAGUAUAGAGACGUCGGACUUCA
rnacentral:lncRNA from 1 species